GCGGUGCGAAUAGCGGGUUCCC
rnacentral:miRNA from 1 species